rnacentral:tRNA from 1 species
AAGUGUUGUGCCAGAAAAAUUGGGUUACCUUGAUGAGGUAAAAUAUGGGAAAUUUUCCUCGAUACUUA